rnacentral:rRNA from 1 species
AGGAUGAACGCUGGCGGCGUGCCUAAGACAUGCAAGUCGAGUGGGUUUAGGCCCACGGCGAACGGGUGAGUAAUACCUAGGAACUUUCUUUAAGUGGAGCAUAACCCAUAGAAAUGUGGGAUAAUACUUCAUGUGGCAGUAAUGCUAAAGUCGCAAGACGCUUAAAGUGAGGCCUGGGCACCAUCAGCUAGUUGGUAAGGUAAUGGCUUACCAAGGCUAUGACGGUUAGGGGUCCCGAGAGGGAUAACCCCCACACUGGAACUGCGACACGGUCCAGACUCCUACGGGAGGCAGCAGUUUGGAAUUUUGGACAAUGGGCGAAAGCCUGAUCCAGCGACGCCGCGUGGACGAUGAAGGCCUUCGGGUCGUAAAGUCCUUUUGCUCGGGAACAAUAAUUUGAGCGUACCGAGAGAAUAAGAGGUUGCUAACUCUGUGCCAGCAGCCGC